UACGGAGGGUGCAGGCGUUAUCCGGAUUCACUGGGUUUAAAGGGUGCGUAGGUGGGUCUGUAAGUCAGUGGUGAAAUCCCCGAGCUUAACUUGGGAACUGCCGUUGAUACUAUAGAUCUUGAAUAUCGUGGAGGUAAGCGGAAUAUGUCAUGUAGCGGUGAAAUGCUUAGAUAUGACAUAGAACACCAAUUGCGAAGGCAGCUUGCUACACGGUCAUUGACACUGAGGCACGAAAGCGUGGGGAGCAAACAGG
rnacentral:rRNA from 1 species